ensembl:lncRNA
AGUAUUUUUUUAAUGUGUUACAUAUUUUAUACCUACUAGGAAUCAUACUUCAUUUUUGAAACCUUCCUUUUGUUCUUAAUAUAUCAUGAACAUAUUUCCAUAGGCUAAUUAUACUUGGAGAACAUGAUGUUGAUCACUGUAUAAUAAAUAUUUCAUCAUAAAGGUGUCUUAUAAUUUAAGAAUUUUCCUACAGUUAGAUGGUUACACUGGUUCCAAUUUUCACUGCAAUGAACACUCAUUUUCAACAGCAUCUUUGCAUAUCUCUUAUGUAAUAUAAAUUUUUCAAAGUACAAUUUCUGUUUCAAAAAUAUAAAACUUAAAAUAAUUACUCAAGUUUAUUAUCAUAUUGCUGUCCAAUUGUUACUAUAAGGAAAAAAGGAGCUAAAGAAUAGAGUGGUUUCUGUAGCCCAGAACUGAAGAGCGUGCUGCAGCUUGAAAUGGCUCGUGCCUUUUGCAGAGACACAGUCUUGCUGGCGGGGAGAAACUCAUGGGGUAUCUUGAUCUCUUGAUGCCUACUUCUCCCGGCAAUGAGAGUCCAAAUGAAAGAGAGAGGGCAACGGAAGCCUUUCAUGCAGUCAUGGACCAGCCUCCUGGCCAUUAAAUGGAGAUUGCAUCAUUUUUAUAUACUUGUCAAUUGGGUAAAUAAAAAUUGCUAAAUAUUUUACUAACCACGUUUGUUUGAUUGCUAGUGAUGUUGAACACUUUUCCAAAAUUGUUAUUGGCUAUUUGCAUUUCUCCUUUUUUAAGUUGCUGAUACAGGGUUAAGAAAUCACAUAGGCAAUAGUAAGGGUAUGGGAGUCCUACACAAGGGUUUUUUUUGUUUUUUGUUUUUUGUUUUUUUGAGACGGAGUCUCGCUCUGUUGCCCAGGCUGGAGUGCAGUGAGCCGAGAUCAUGCCACUGCACUCCAGCCUGGGCCGCAGAGUGAGACUCUGUCUCAAAUCAAUCAAUCAAUCAAUAAAAAUAAGACACAUUUGUGGUAGUUCACACGAAAAACAGUGGAGCUAGAAUAUGGUGACAGCAGAGGAGUCAGUGGAGGAGAAAAACUUGGGGAAGCCGGUCCAUCAUUCAGAAUUCGUGAAAUGGAAUGUGAGGUGGGAGGAAGAGCGGAAAUGAGAUGAGGGAAAGAUGCGCAGGUGGGUAUUGUUGCCAUUAACUCAGACCAGAUGGGCUGGGAGGGAAAGAAGAUUGUCGACUCUGAGGUGGAGUAGAGACUGAGUUGUAGUUUUUUGGUUGUUUCUGUUUUCCCUAUGUCUAUCUCCUCCAUUAGUAUAAAGUCUUGAGUGGAGAAAGUAUACUGCUAUGGUAUAGAGUCAGCACUUGAAAAAUACAUGAAAAAAGUAUGUUAUCCAUCUCUCCAAACCCUGUUAGACUCUUCAUUCAAUUUAUGACUUCCCUAACUUCUUGACCCCAUUUAAAUGUUUUCUCUCUCUUUCAUAGAGCUCUUCCCUCUUGGUUCUCUUGGGUAUAACACAGCUGGAAAAUUAUUCGCAUGCAUAAAGUCCGCUUCCAAAUGUCUCACACAAAGGUGAUGGCUCUGUAGAAAAAGUAGGCACCUGCAGUCACAGGAACUGGGAUAGCCAUUCCAUCUUAACUAUCUAAUAUCCUGUGCGAUACUUAACUGCCCUGCAGCUUAGUUAUGUCUAGAGUUUAACACAUUGCUGUGAUAAUUGCUUUAGAUAAUAUCUGGAGUAUAAUACUGUGGCUAAAGCACACCAUGAAUCAGAUAUGGGAGAAAAGAGGAGGGAGAGGUAGAAGCCCC